AUGCCUUCGCUCCCACUCUUUCUCCUGCGGCUUGGAAGACGCCGAUGUGCGGCUGGACGCACGACUCUAGACACACGUGAGAAGGCGUCCAAGCGCGUCCCUGCCGGUUCUUUCGGCAUUCGGAGACCCUCCCCCCCCCGCCGCCUCUAGUUACGAAGGGGUCGUCAUGGCGCUCGUGCCCUGUCAGGUGCUGAGGGUCGCCAUCCUCCUCUCCUAUUUCUCAAUCCUGUGCAACUACAAGGCCAUUGACAUGCCCGCGCACCAGACCUACGGAGGUAGCUGGAAAUUUCUGACAUUCAUUGACCUGGUUAUUCAAGCAGUCUUUUUUGGGAUCUGUGUAUUGACUGAUCUUUCCAGCCUUCUGACUAAAGGAAAUGACAGCCAAGAACAAGAAAGACAGCUACGAAAACUCAUUUCCCUCCGUGACUGGAUGAUGGCUGUCUUAGCUUUUCCUAUUGGAGUUUUUGUUGUAACAAUGUUUUGGAGCAUCUAUAUCUAUGACAGAGAACUAGUUUACCCAAAAAUCCUUGAUAAUUUUAUACCACCUUGGCUGAAUCAUGGAAUGCAUACAACUGUUUUACCUUUUAUAUUAAUUGAAAUGAGAACGACGCAUCAUGAAUAUCCUAGCAGGACCUGCGGACUGGUUGCUGUGUGCAUCUUUUCUAUUGGCUACAUCUUAUGGGUCUGUUGGAUUUAUCAUGUAACCGGGGUUUGGGUGUACCCUCUCUUGGAUUAUCUUGGCUCAGGUGCUAAAAUUGUCUUCUUCUCCAUUGUAACUGUAAUAAUUAACAUCUUCUACUUGCUGGGUGAGAUUCUAAACAACUGCAUCUGGGACACACACAAAUGGCCAUUGUGGUAAAGUUAGACCAUAUCAAGAGUGCAACCCUGUGUAUCUUUAUUCAAAGCUAAAGCCCACUGAGUUGGGUGGAAUUUACUGCCAGCUAAGUAUGAAAGAAGGAAAAGAAAGACCUAAAUUGGACUGAACAUAAGACGAAAGAAUGGAAAAGGAGACUUGCUGCUACAUGGAAGGAACCUCGAUGUCAAGAGAUGUUGCCAGAGGAGUCCAUAUACAUGAACAGUGCAUCUAGAAUACUUAUAGUUAUUUAUUUUCUAAAGAGGGGUAUUGCUUUUGUGAUCUGCUCUUUCUUCCUGAUAUCUCUAUCUGUCUACGCAAGACUAUAUAUGAUGGAUACAGCUACUAGGUCUUCAACACAUGCUCUUAGGUAUAUCAAAGCUAAGUGUCUUUCCAGUGGCAGUAAGAAGAAUUAAGGGGAUCUGUUCUGUCUCUGGUUUGAAAAUACGAUAAAGCAGGCCAGCACUGAAUCUGUGGGGGAAUAUUUUGCUCUGUUACAAUGCUGCACAUAUGAAAUAAUGGUUUAACUCCCAUUAGCCAUCAAAGAGCUCUGUGCAUUUUGGAUCACCAAGUGGCUGGCAGCAUGUGUGGGAAGCAAGGAAGGUCACCUGAAAGUGGGAUUGGAGAUGGCUGCACCUGGGAAGCACAGAACAGAAAUUCAGACCUAGGGUGCGCGCAUGCAUGCGCGGGUCCACUGCCCCUCUGCUUGUAACAUUUAUUUUUAAUCAUUGAUUGACAAAGUCAUACACACUGAUGUAACAAAUGGUUUUAAAUCAAGGGUGUUAAUAAUUGUAUCAAUCUGAGAUUACAAAUGAAACCUAUCCAUGUUCCUUAAAAUGCACAUUAUUAAAGAUCAAGGCAUUCCCCUCCUCGAUUCCCCUCAAAAGCUGCUGCUGCUCCGGUUUCUGCAGGGAGGGAGAGAAACCUUAAGAGACCCCACCUCAUUUUCCUCACAUCAAGAGGAGAUGCCGGACUUUCUUUAUCAUCCUAUCCUUUCCUAAACCCUUGAUGCUGCUUGGGUAGACUACUGUAAGUUAAUAAUUUAUUUGGCAUUGCAUGUACCAUCUACCUUAAAUAGAGGGGGCAAGGAUUCUGGUGAUGGAGGAAGAGUAUCAGGUGACAGACAGCAGAGUCAGAACCAGCCCAACUGCACAAACCACCUGGGAUCUCGAGGAGGAGCCAUGUGCUUGAGCAGGCAUGCCAGCAAAGCAGGACCUGAAGAGUAUAUUCCAGGAUCUCUGGUGAAGUCCCAGAAGAAGGGUGGUCAGUGGUGAUAGCCUCGGGACCAUGCUAGUCUCCUGGCCAUGAGCCAGGGCAGGAAGUGAUUCCUACUUAAAACAUUUUGGGCAGGACCAUCAGGGGCAAGACAAAAUAGUUGCUCAGGCCUAAUCCUGUAUGUGAGCCACUGGGUUGGCCAUUCCUGUUCUAGACAAAAGACUUCAGGCCUGAAUUGUUACAUAACCUCAUCCCAUCUCAAGUGCUCAGGUGCUAGAAUAUAGGCAGUGCAAACUAGCAUUAAGGACUUCACGACUGGUGGCACGCCCAUGUGGAUGUAGCCAGGGCAUGCUUGCAUACAUACGUCCUCAACAUUAAUCCUAGAAUAUGUCACAUGCAUGUUUUAAAAACAAGUAUUUUUCACUCAGGUGAAACUGUGGGAAAUUCUCAUCCUGCCUUCAUGACAGCAUGGUUGGGCUUCAGCUGGGGAGUGUUCUGAUGAAGCCAUUCCAUGGGCUGCACCUCUUCCUAGAAUCUUUCACUGGCCAGCCAUUGCCACAGAGCAGAGUAGAGAGCAACAUUUGGAACAUGUGGUGCUUGAUUUAAGAAUGAGGCUUUCAGCUUCCCCUGCACAGACCCUGGGAUUCCUGGGGGCAGCAAGCCUGCAAGAAUCCAAGGUGGCAAACUGAAGGAAGAGAGCUGGAAAGGGAGCCUGUUCCAAAUGCAUAGAGCAGAAUACUGGAAAUAAGAAUGGGCAAUGAAGCAGGUAGCACUAGGAAGGUGGAGAGAAUAAGAAGAGGUACCAAGAGGCAGCAAAAGAGAUUUAAAAGGAGGAUUUGUAUGAUACUUUAGCAUGGAGUGCCAGGAACCAUGAUAUUCUCACAGAGAUGUUUUAAGAUAUACACUAGUAAUAUUUAGCUGUCUCCUAACAAGAGAAAAAUUUACAGUGCAAUCCUGUUCCUAUCAAAUCAGAAGUAAGUACUAUUAACUUAAAAAUGCAUCUUUCUCCCAAGUGUGUGGGUACAGGACUGGGGUUGGUCCCAUUAGGUCCUCUGAGCUGAAAUAAGUAAAAUCAAGACCGCCCUUGCCUGGGAAAGGUUCUUUUAAAAAUGCACCAAAGAGACAGGCUUCCAUUUAGUCACAUAUCUCUAUUGGGCAAUAUUUAUAGAUAGUGCUCAAAGUUUAAUGCAAGUUUUUUAAACACUUCAGUGGGGCAAUGUAAAUUAAAGCUUCACUAUCAACAAUGUGAAGUUCAGUUUGGUAAAAAUAAGUACCCACAGUUUUGUUAAUAGGAUUUGAGUGCUUUUAUAUGGCAGGUUUGCAUAAGUCAUUCCCCGCUGUUGGGAUGUGCAUGUCAGUAGUCUUAAGUCUGUAUUUCUCAUUGAUCUUUUUGUUAAUUAAACCCUGGAUCAUGGCCAUUGUCUGUACUUUACUCAUGGUGAAAAUGGCAAAUAAAUUUUUUUAAAAUGA